rnacentral:misc_RNA from 1 species
UUUGGUUUCUAAUAAGAAACCAAGACAACAAGAAAAAUUAGAUGGAUGAUUUAUUGGAUUACUUCUUUUGUUCUGUUUAGUUUUCAGGGAUUGUUUUCUCUGAGCAAUUGUUCUUUAAAAACUGGAUAAUAGACAUCUUUUAAAAAAAAUAAGAUAAUUUUUAUCUUGCAAUAGGAUAUUCUAAAA